UAGUAAUCUGAAAGCCAUUCUAUUACCAUUCCGUCCAAGUUGGGAAGUAAAGAAAAUAAUUUCUACGUCAGCUGUUUAAGCAUACUUUAUUACAAUUUUGCCUCAUUCACAUGACACAAGAAGUUUGUUCUGUUUGGCAAGGUAAACAUCUUCUUUCAAUCUUGAGGCUACGCACGUCCUUAUCCACAUUAGUUCUCAACACUGUUUAUGAUAGUAACCUUUUGACUCAAAUAAUAUAGAGGAAAAAUAUGUUGUAAAUGCAAUAAUAGACAGACCUCAGGAACAGAAGAUCCAGGGAACGCAUGAAAAGAAGCUUUUGGAUCAGCAGCAGCAUAACAAAAUUCCAGUGUCUUCCAAUAGUCCUCAACAGCUUCUCUACUUGACAGAACAAAAUCAUGCCGGUAUCUUGGGCGAAGAUCAAUAGAUUUUGAAACUAUUGCUGGUGGUUCUUCUAUGUAAGGUUUAAACUCCAUUGCAUCUGUGAACAAUGCAUGUGGAAGCAUGACUCCGUCUUCAGAAUUCUCAACAGGUAUCAGUCGAAUGAGCUGCAUCAGAAAACAAAUCAUAAGGAAUGACAGAAAGUGCAAAAAAAUGCAUCAAUCAGCUUCUGCAUAACCUGAAGAUAGCCUCAGUGUUACAGAAGUGAAUUUUCCUAGAAGCCUCUUCCCACCUUAUUUUUAUUAGGUUGAAGCGAUGACAUUGACCUAUCAAAUUUGUCACACCCUCGUCUGCCCACCAUAAAGCACAUUAAUAGGAGAUUAAAACCUGAUUUUCACCUUGCUUAUUACUUAGGUUCCGAUGCAUAUUUUUGGUGCUGACAUUUUUCAUCUCUCUGUACACUGAUUUUCAAUUUAUAUACAUCUUGAGCUCUUUCUUUUUUGGUCCAGUUUCAUGUCCUGAUACUUCUAUAUAUUCAAAUAAUUAUAUUUGAUUCAGAAAUAACAUUCAAACGAAGGAAGCGGAAGAGACUGUCUUACAGAAUCCAUUGGAGGAAGUUUUGGGUAUGUAUACAAUUAUACAACAAACACCAAGUUUAAGCAUUGACUUUUUUCCUCGUCUAGCUUUGAAAUAAUUCCAGGUCUCAAACAGUCAGAACCAUCAAGUAUAGUCAAACCAAAUGGAUGUCCACUAAUAAACAACCCAAUAUAAAUAUAAAUCAAGAUAACAAGAAGAAAGCCCAAACAAAAACGUAGAAAAUCUGGCUUGUAAGUAGGAAUUAACGAAUAUUAUAAAAUAUAAACACAAAACUGGAAAAAAAACAGCUACACUGCUUAUCAUCAGUGGUGUCCAAUGGCAUAAAAGAUAUCUUCCUUCCCCAGUGAAAAUAUGUGCUUUAGAGCCUCAAGGAAACAGGGAUGCUGGAUUGCAAACCCAUGAGCACUCCUAUGGAACCGAACAAACGGCUAAGCCAUAACAAGGAAACUGCUGUAGUUGACAAAGGAAGUUACUAACGAUUGAUUGGUAAACUCAUAUAUCUAGUUCACACUCGUCCUGACAAAUCCUACUCAGUGGGAAUUGUAGUUCAAAAUAUGCAUGACCCAACGAAGGAACUCAUGGAGAUGGUAAACAGCAUUCUCAGAUAUUUAAAUUUUUCUCCUGGAAAAGGUUUAUUAUUUCAAAAGACCAAACAACAAGGAACAAACAUUUACACUGAUGCAAGCUGGGCAAGCGAGAUCAUUGACAGAAGAUCCACCACGGGAUACUGCACCUAUGUGUGGGGCAAUCUUGUAACAUAGAGAAGCCAGUUCAGCCAUUAGCCAAAUAAUAUACCACACUCAUUCUUCCUAUCUCUGCUAAUCUCUUUCUAAUCUACCACCAGUUCAUAAAAAGAUACCAAUUCAGAAGAUAACAUGCAGCUACCAAAUGCAGCAAGAUAUUGUGAAGAACCGUAUACCGGCAGAAUAUGAACAAAAACAUAUAAGCAUGAAAUAUCCACAGAAAGUAGUACCUUCAAUCUCCUCAAUAUGUCAAUGACAACUGACAGCCUACCAGUGGCUGGAGUAUCCAUCAAGCAUCUAUAUUCUUCUGCGGGGAGAUCGCAAAGACGCAAACCCAACUUGCACUUCUCAACCAAGUUAUCAAUCUUUUGAGUAGAACCUGCCACUUGCAAAAAUAACUCCAGUGGAAUGGCCUUCACGGCUCCUUGUAGUGAAAACAGUUUGUAACCAGAUGAUAGAAUAUCAUCCCAUCCUUCUGGAUCACUCAAAAAAUCCCAUAAGAAAAUAUGCAAGAGUUUAGCACGAACCAUUUUUGCCAAGACAAACCCAUUGGUCCUCAUUGCUUCUGAUCUAGCAACUUGACCAUCUGAAUCUACAGAAGCCUGAGUUCUUUUUAGUUCUCAAUACUGUUUAUGAUAGUAACCUCUUGACUCAAAUAAUAUAGAGGAAAAAUAUGUUGUAAAUGCAAUAAUAGACAGACCUCAGGAACAGAAGAUCCAGGGAACGCAUGAAAAGAAGCUUUUGGAUCAGCAGCAGCAUAACAAAAUUCCAGUGUCUUCCAAUAGUCCUCAACAGCUUCUCUACUUGACAAAACAAAAUCAUGCCAGUAUCUUGGGCGAAGAUCAAUAGAUUUUGAAACUAUUGCUGGUGGUUCUUCUAUGUAAGGUUUAAACUCCAUUGCAUCUGUAAACAAUGCAUGUGGAAGCAUGAC
rnacentral:lncRNA from 1 species